CCUACGGGGGGCAGCAGUGGGGAAUAUUGCGCAAUGGGCGAAAGCCUGACGCAGCGACGCCGCGUGAGGGAUGAAGGUCUUCGGAUCGUAAACCUCUGUCAGCAGGGAAGAACGGUCACUGUGCUAAUCAGCAGUGAAUUGACGGUACCUGCAAAGGAAGCACCGGCUAACUCCGUGCCAGCAGCCGCGGUAAUACGGAGGGUGCGAGCGUUAAUCGGAAUUACUGGGCGUAAAGCGCUCGUAGGCGGUAUGUCAAGUCAAGGGUGAAAUCCCCGCGCUCAACGUGGGAACUGCCUUUGAAACUGGCAAACUGGAGUGUGUGAGAGGAUAGUGGAAUUCCAGGUGUAGGAGUGAAAGCCGUAGAUAUCUGGAGGAACAUCAGUGGCGAAGGCGAGUAUCUGGCACAUAACUGACGCUGAGGAGCGAAAGCGUGGGUAGCAAACAGGAUUAGAUACCCCAGUAGUC
rnacentral:rRNA from 1 species